rnacentral:tRNA from 10 species
GCAUCCGUAGCUCAGCUGGAUAGAGCGUCGGUCUACGGAACCGAAAGUCGGAGGUUCGAAUCCUUCCGGAUGCG